GCCUUCGUAGUGUAAUGGUCAGCACACUCGACGCAUAUCCGAGAGGUCCCUGGUUCGAGUCCCGGCGAAGGCA
rnacentral:tRNA from 1 species